rnacentral:rRNA from 1 species
CGGGGUGCAGCAGGCGCGAAAACUUUACAAUGCCGGCAACGGCGAUAAGGGAACCUCGAGUGCCAGGUUACAAAUCUGGCUGUCGUGAUGCCUAAAAAGCAUUGCAUAGCAAGGGCCGGGCAAGACCGGUGCCAGCCGCCGCGGUAACACCGGCGGCUCGAGUGGUAACCGUUAUUAUUGGGUCUAAAGGGUCUGUAGCCGGCCGGGUAAGUCUCUUGGGAAAUCUGGCAGCUUAACUGUCAGGCUUUCAGGAGAUACUGCCUGGCUCGAGGCCGGGAGAGGUGAGAGGUACUUCAGGGGUAGGGGUGAAAUCUUGUAAUCCUUGAAGGACCACCAGUGGCGAAGGCGUCUCACCAGAACGGACCUGACGGCAAGGGACGAAAGCUAGGGGCACGAACCGGAUUAGAUACCCGGGUAGUCCUAGCCGUAAACGAUACUCGCUAGGUGUCGGCCACGGUGCGACCGUGGUCGGUGCCGUAGGGAAGCCGUGAAGCGAGCCACCUGGGAAGUACGGCCGCAAGGCUGAAACUUAAAGGAAUUGGCGGGGGAGCACAAGGGCGAAUCGC